GACGAACGCUGGCGGCGUGCUUAACACAUGCAAGUCGAGCGGUAAGGCCCUUUCGGGGGUACACGAGCGGCGAACGGGUGAGUAACACGUGGGUGACCUGCCCUCAGCUCUGGGAUAAGCCUGGGAAACCGGGUCUAAUACUGGAUAUGACUCCAUGACGCAUGUUGUGGGGUGGAAAGCCUUGUGCGGCUGAGGAUGGGCCCGCGGCCUAUCAGCUUGUUGGUGGGGUGANGGCCUACCAAGGCGGCGACGGGUAGCCGGCCUGAGAGGGCGACCGGCCACACUGGGACUGAGACACGGCCCAGACUCCUACGGGAGGCAGCAGUGGGGAAUCUUGCGCAAUGGGCGAAAGCCUGACGCAGCGACGCCGCGUGAGGGAUGACGGCCUGGU
rnacentral:rRNA from 1 species